UUGUCCAGCAGAGGAAACAAAACGAAAGGAGAGGUUUCUCUCUAAAAGGGGAGUGGUCUCCUGUCUGCACUUUAUAAACUCUCGUCCUCGGCGUAUGGUCGCAUUCUGUGUCUGGACUGGAUUUAAACAUCAUCUCUUUGCGGGAUCUUUUUGGUUUUUUGUGCAGAAAUGUAACGAGUGAGAAACCGACGUUGGAUAAGGUUAUUGGAUGUUUUAUUAAGUGAAGCAAAACUUUUGAUCCAACAUCAUGUUUUCUUCAGUUCAGGUAAAUUAUUCAGUAAAUUCUGCAUUGAUGUUUAUACGUUCAUGAUGUUUUUAACUAAAUCAUAACUUAAUGUCACUGUUUGUUUUAGUGCGAGUCUUUGUCCAUAUUUGUUUGAAGACUGUAGAAAUAUGUAAACAAAGAAAAGCAACAAUCUUAUAGUGAUUUUUUUUUUUACUUUUGAUUAUGAACCUUUUAGUAUUUGAUCUACAACUUUUGAUGAAUUCUUCACAUGCACCAGUGUCAUAUUUAUUAAAAAUGAGUUGUUCUGCUUUCAGAGUUAAUCUGUAUCAACGAAGGCUGCAACUUUCACUGAUCCUGAAACUAUGACUCUAAAACAUAAAUUAUUAUUGUAGCUAAGAUCUGUUCACAUCACAUCAAGUUUAUUGUUGUGAUAUUUCGUUUUUUCUUAACUACAACUUAAACCAAACAGUUAUGUCUUAUUCCAGUUAUUUCUGUCUGCUCCUAAUGUGCAAGAGGAGAAAACUGAAUGAGAAUUAAAGUGAUGCACAUCAUAUGACACCACAGUGAAAAUGUCAGUGUGGACAGCUGGUCUUUUACUGAUGGUAACUGUGGUCUUCUGUCCUUCAAGAGGUCAGACUCUGUUCACUGUCAGUGGACCUCAGGACGUCUACCAGGCAGAGGAGCACAGUAACAUCACACUAACAUGGCUGUUCUCUGUCACUGCUGACAUGUCUGACUCCCUGUACAUAAAAGUCAGGUGUGAGAAACCAUUCAGAUCAGUUUACAGAUAUAACAGUAGAUCUAAAGCUGAGCCAUAUCAGGAUGAGUUCUACAGAGGACGAGUGCUGUGUGAUCCAGAGCUCGCUAGAAAAGGACGAAUUGAAUGUGUCUUUACUGAUCUGAGACUGAACGACACAGGAACGUAUCGGUGUGUUGUUGAGAUGAACAGAAACAGGAGCUCUAAACUAUGUCACCUCAAUGUUACAGGUGUCCAACCUGUAAGUGAGACAUUAGAGACAAAGCCAGAAAGAAGAAGAAUCGGACUCUAUUCAGGUUUUGUUUUAUUUACUCUGGUGGUAUUUUCACUAACGAUCUGUUAUUUCACUGUGUGCAGAGAGACCUCAGUAUUAAAUGUGGACGUCUCUCAGCCUGUUGGACCAAAAGAGAUUGUUGACUGAUUUCAGUCAUUUUUUAACCUCUUGCACUUUCUACCCAGUUAUUACAGAUCAUUACCUCAUGUAUUUGUUUUUGUAAUGAUGCUGUUUGUUAUAUCUGACCUGUUGUCCUCCUAUGAACUGUACCACAGAGCAGUGCAGAUACAUGCUGUUACCUCCUCAAAGUAAAGUCAGAAAACGCUUUUUCAAAGGAGCUGUUGUAACAGCUUGUUUACAUAAAUUCAUUUUAAUCACUUUAUUCUCUGAAAAAAAGGAAAGUUGUUAAAAUAAUCUAUAUUAGCUACGUCUGUUUUUACAAAUGUACUUUACGCUGUAAAUGUUCUCUGUGACUCUGAGGGAAUGAAGGAUCCAGAAUAGUUGGAGCUAUGUUGGAUAAAAUGUCGUCAUAUCAGCUGCUGCUUUGUAUUCAAAAUGUGUGUUUUUCAGUUUCCUGUGAGUUCAGUGUUUUCACCAGAUAUUAACAAUUUAAAAUCACAUAUGUAGUAGUAGAGUUUGAUAUGAUGAGUCAGUUUUGCUUCUGGUAUAUCCCAGUGGUUGUAUACUGUACUUUGACACCUUCAUAGAAAUAGACACUGACGAACUGCUGGAUAAUUGUGACACCAACGAAGGUGACGACAGCUGUAACUGGUUUAUACUUGAACAUAGUUUAAUAUCUGUGGUUGAAUCAGGUUAUAAAGUCAGAACUCUACUUGAUAAUGAAAGUUAGUGUCAGUGUGACAACAUGUUUCCUCCAUAUUCACUUCAAUAUAAACUGUUUGUUGUUUAAUGAGACAGAGUUAAACAUGAGGUCCAGUCCUUCUUACUGACAAAGCUGGAGAGGUCACUUUGAAUUAGCACUGGUAUUAAUCUAACUUAUAAUUUAAUGGAAUCAAAGGUCAUAAUAUUUUUAGUUGCUGUUUCUCAGGUACACAUCUUUUCAUGUUAAGUGAUUAAAAUAAAAGCUCAAAAAGCACAAACAGACUCAAUUUGAGGUGAAUAAAUCUGUUUUGGAGAUGAUGGUGUGAGCUGACUACAGGACUUUAAAAAACUAAUCAGUCACAAAGAUGCAGCAUCAUGGGAGUGAGUCGAGUUCCUGUAGGAAAAGUUUCUAAAACUGUGUUUGUGACUGUAGAUUUUAUACUUGCACUUUGUGUGGACUGUUUCCCAACUCUGUACUUCCCUAGAUCAGAUUUUCAGCCUAUAACGUACAAUAACUGCUUCAAUGUUGAACCAAAAGCAAGAAGUUACACUAACCAUAAUGCUGCCUCCUCUCAUUUAGAUAGUUCCUCAUUUUUUACAUGUGAUUCCUUCUUGUGCAUUAGGCAACAUUUGUCUUUACUAUUUUGAGUCUGUUAUUGCGUUUCCCAUAUGAACUAAACAAUCAAUGUGACCACAACAACCUGUAACUGGAUAUGUAUUAUUAGUAUUAGUAUUAUUACUAUGUUUUUUCUGACCAGUCUUGUUUGACAUAAGCUGCAUCAGUGCAGUUGGCUGAGUUCCCAGUUCUGAACCUUUGACCUUCAGAGGACAAACAGUUAAGAUAAGAUAAGAUAAGAUAAGAUAAGAUAAGAUAAGAUAAGAUAAGAUAAGAUAAGAUAAGAUAAGAUAAGAUAAGGCUUUAUUGUCAUUGUACAGUCACACUUGGUACAACAGUACAACGAAAUUGCAAACUG
rnacentral:lncRNA from 1 species